rnacentral:rRNA from 1 species
AGAACGAACGCUGGCGGCAUGCCUAAUACAUGCAAGUCGAACGAACACUUCGGUGUUAGUGGCGCACGGGUGCGUAACGCGUGGGAAUCUGCCCUUGGGUUCGGAAUAACAGUUGGAAACGACUGCUAAUACCGGAUGAUGACGAAAGUCCAAAGAUUUAUCGCCCAGGGAUGAGCCCGCGCAGGAUUAGCUAGUUGGUGAGGUAAAGGCUCACCAAGGCGACGAUCCUUAGCUGGUCUGAGAGGAUGAUCAGCCACACUGGGACUGAGACACGGCCCAGACUCCUACGGGAGGCAGCAGUAGGGAAUAUUGGACAAUGGGCGCAAGCCUGAUCCAGCAAUGCCGCGUGAGUGAUGAAGGCCUUAGGGUUGUAAAGCUCUUUACCCGAGAUGAUAAUGACAGUAUCGGAGAAUAAGCCCGCUAACUCCGUGCCAGCAGCCGC